GUGGGGAAUAUUGCACAAUGGGCGCAAGCCUGAUGCAGCAACGCCGCGUGAGGGAUGACGGCCUUCGGGUUGUAAACCUCUUUUAGUAGGGAAGAAGCGAAAGUGACGGUACCUGCAGAAAAAGCACCGGCUAACUACGUGCCAGCAGCCGCGGUAAUACGUAGGGUGCAAGCGUUGUCCGGAAUUAUUGGGCGUAAAGAGCUCGUAGGCGGCUUGUCGCGUCUGCUGUGAAAGCCCGGGGCUCAACCCCGGGCCUGCAGUGGGUACGGGCAGGCUAGAGUGCGGUAGGGGAGAUUGGAAUUCCUGGUGUAGCGGUGGAAUGCGCAGAUAUCAGGAGGAACACCGAUGGCGAAGGCAGAUCUCUGGGCCGCUACUGACGCUGAGGAGCGAAAGCAUGGGGAGCGAACAGGAUUAGAUACCCGGGUAGUCC
rnacentral:rRNA from 1 species